AGCGAACGCUGGCGGCAUGCUUAACACAUGCAAGUCGAACGAAGGCCCGGAGCUUGCUCCGGUGUCCUUAGUGGCGGACGGGUGAGUAACGCGUGGGAACCUGCCCAGUAGUGGGGAAUAACGUCUGGAAACGGACGCUAAUACCGCAUACGCCCCUCGGGGGAAAGGCUUAGGUCGCUAUCGGAGGGUCCCGCGUCUGAUUAGCUUGUUGGUGAGGUAAUGGCUCACCAAGGCGACGAUCAGUAGCUGGUCUGAGAGGAUGAUCAGCCACACUGGGACUGAGACACGGCCCAG
rnacentral:rRNA from 1 species